rnacentral:rRNA from 1 species
UACGAAGGGGGCGAGCGUUGUUCGGAUUUACUGGGCGUAAAGGGCGCGCAGGCGGUUCUGUUUGUCGAGUGUGAAAGCCCCGGGCUCAACCUGGGAACUGCGCUCGAAACGGCGGAACUAGAGUUCGGGAGAGGAGAGUGGAAUUCCCAGUGUAGAGGUGAAAUUCGUAGAUAUUGGGAAGAACACCGGUGGCGAAGGCGGCUCUCUGGACCGAUACUGACGCUGAGGCGCGGAAAGCGUGGGGAGCAAACAGGG